UUUCACUCUCACUUGACUCUGAACUUGAGGAUCCCGAUCCAGAUCCAUCAGAGUCACAACCAGAACUAUCAGAUUCAGAAUCGGACUCGGGUACAGCCUUUUGUUGUUGCAUGAUGAGCCGAGGCAUGUUCUUGAGAUACUCCCGCAGGUUUUCUGUGAUCCCUCCAAGCCCAAUGGAAGUGAAGAAGUUAAUAGCAAACCUAGUGUUUUCGGGUUGUCCUCGAAUGAGUCUUGCAUGCCAGGGUCGCUUAGACGUUCAUUAAGCAAGCCAAUUCCUAGGUGUUCUGAUAAUUCCUGCAACAAAAGAACCAUAGCAUUUGAGGUUUAACAUCAUCUUGAGAAGACAGCUAGACAAUAUAACCAAAAAUCAUGCAGGUGGGUAAGCAAAUGAAAAAGCACCAGUUCAUGGCAUUGGGCAGUUUAUACUUCUUUAACAUAUUUGUUCAGUAAAAUUUCUUACUAACUCCAUGUGAUUAUGUGAACUAAAAACAAAGUAUUAUCAAUAACAUGCGUAGUAAAAUUAAUAAAACCUGCCUAGACUGCUGCAAUUACGGAACAGGAAAAUACUACGAAGAGAGCAUUAAAUUAUUAACCACUUCAAGAAGUUAAAGGACCACAUGAGAAUAUUGAAGAAAACCUGGGUAGUUUUAGUACCUGGAAGAGAAUCUUGAUGAAGAUACGGGAAGAAGAAGUAGUAUCCUCUUCAGUCAACCGAAUGUAGGCCAAAACGUGCCAAGUCAAUGCAUUUGUGCCAAGUAAAUGUGCAAAGAACUUUGCCACAUUGCGCAGUUUAUUGGUUUCCAGCCGGUGAAUCAUGGAAUACUGCUGGACAAAACACUUCUCAAAGUUCUCCUGAUGAAUUUUCAUCUGCUCUUCGUCUUCAUCCUCUUCCUCAUCGUCGUCCUCCUCAUCAUCAUCAUCCUCUGAAUCUGCAUCUUCAUCUGACUCUGCUUCAUCCUCAGAUUCUUCACCUAGUAUUUGCUUCUUUAGGUCUUCAUACUUCUUCUCAUUCUCCACGAAAUGGGGAUCCGGCUGGAAGAUAUCUGCAACAGAACUAUAUUAGCUCGGUGUAACUGAAGGUUUUAAGAGAUAACAGAAGUCAGCUGCAACCACGCUAUACCUAAAGUGUUCUCAGCAUCUAUCUCAUCCAAAAGAGAAACUUCAUGAGUCAAUUGGUCUUCCUGCUCCACUAGGUCCAGCUCUGGACGGACAGCAGGGUACCCCUACAUCAGGUGCAUUAACAGGUUUAAUUUAAACACAAAAAAAGUAGUAUCAUUUAAGAAGAAAAAAAAUCAGAUUUAACAAAUUAAGCUUUCCAAUUCCAUUAAAAAUGAAGCUCACCUGAAACUUUGCUUUCCGCAAUGCAAAGAGCCCUUCAAUUAAGAACUGUACACGUUUAUCUAUUUCUCCUUCAUGAAGAAUACCACGGAAUCGCUCAAAGAUACCUGUUGAAGUUGAAAAGGCACGGUGUGUCAGAAAGUGCCCAAGGAGUUGCCAAAAGAGAGAGAGAGAGAUUCUGCAAAUCACUAAGUGAAAUCUAGGUUUGCUUAAACGAAUCCACAUCUCAAGUGCAUAGACAGAAAGAUAUUAUCUCAAUGCACUCAGAGAGAUUCUGCUAGUGAAUAAGUCAAGUCUUCUGCACCACCCACAUUAACUCACAAACAAGAAAGUAUAUCAGCAGCUCAGUUAAUUAAAAUUUAACACCAAAACAACAUCUUUAGUUUAAGGAGAUGAUCAGAUUUAUAGCAACUUAUAGAUCGUAAAAAUAGCUCAUCUCAGAAUAAGUUAAAUAUAAUGCAGGUCCAAAGAGCAGCGUCAUAGCUCUCAACCGAUCAUUCCCUCAUCAGACAUACACAUCAACUAAUCCAAUUUCAGAUCAAACACUUUCCUCAAAUUCAGCAAUUGGCCUAGCUUCUACUAUCAGAAACUGAAAUAACUGAAAGAACAAAGAAUAACCUAUACUCAAGAAUUCGGAUCCACCAGAAAAGCUUUAAUAGUACUAUGUAUAAAAGUUUCUCGUAAAUAAUAACAAAAAUGGCCAUAGUCCCAUACUCACCGUGCAAUCCCCUGGGGGAAAGGUCCUGCAGCAAGGAUCCACAUUCUGUAACAAAUCCGACAGCUACUUCAACACUAUCAUCGGUGGGCUUUUCCAGCAGUAAUGUCAGCAGCUCAAGAGCAAUAAGCUCAUGAACUAUCUGCUGGUUCACCAGGUGAGCUAUGAAUUUGACCUCAGCAAGUAGUUGUGGCUGCCACAAAAUUUUCACCACAAAUUCAACAUACAUAUAGAUCUCAAAAUAGUAAUGAACCUAUAAAUCAUACUGAAAAGAAUUAAAAAAACAAACCUUAUCAUUGCGCUUAAAUGCCCUCUGUAGCUGUAGUAUGAUCCUCCGCAACAGAAGAUCCCCUACUUCAGGGAACUUUGUGUUUACGACAGCAACCAAAGCUGCAAAUACAUGAGUGAACCCAGGAGACGCCAUUUGAGACUUCAUACAUGAUCGACAGAAUAGACCCCGCCCUCGUAUCAGAUUUUCAGCAAACAGCUCCGGAAUGAUGUUUUUGAUGUUGGUGGCGUUCACUUUGUUCACCAAUCCAUUGAUACUCUUCCUCAGAGCGUCCCAUGUGAUUCUUUGAUAUUCAAGGCUGCCAUUAUCCUCGAUUUCCUUCAUCAUUCUGGCCAACUUAAACGGAGGAACGUACACUCCGCCACUCCUUCCCAUAUUCGCCAAUAUCUUUCUCGUCAAAUUCCUCUCAUUCUUAGAGCUAUUAUAGCUAUCACCAUUCUCGUGACUCGUCAUGCUUCCUAACUCCUUCUCAGGAUAGAAAAGAAAAGAAAAAGUAAAAAAAAAAUUGAAAAAAGAUUUUAAUGAGUUGAUAUAUUGGGCUUGGUUACUUAAUUAGUUUAUGUUGGGCCUUUAUUAUCUUCUAACCAAUUGAGCUAAUGGGCUUCUUUAUAUUGAGCUUAUUUUCUAAUGGGCUUGUUUAUAUUGAGCUUAUUUGUAUAUAUAUGAAACACCAACGGUUAUAAAUUCCCGGCAAAAUUGUGAAAGUUUUCAUUCCAAAACUAUAGGCACAUUUAAAUGAACGUGGAUUUCAUCAUUGACCCCAAUUUAUUUAUAUUAACAUUAUAUAUGAUGAGAGUAAAAUAGAUCUAAAUGCUUAACAACGUAUAUAUGUAUACUUUAUCAGAGUUUAGCAUAUAUAAUGUUCUUUAAUAAUUUAUGUAUUCUUUUAGAUUUUAAAUUUAUUAUUUUUUAUAUUUUAAUGGUGCUAGGUUUAAUUUAUACUUACUUAAAAUAAAUAUUUUUUUCAUAUUCUUUUAGUAUUUUAAUGGUAAAAUUAUGUGUAGGAUGAUAACGUCUAAAAAUAGGAUUUACAUAUAUUUGGAGGACGUACAAAAAAACGAUAUGCAUGCAUAUAUAAUGUUCUUUAAUAAUUUAUAUAUUCUUUUUCUAAUAGCUAAACCUAUUUUUCAAUUUUUUUUAUAGUUGUUGAACAAAUGGUUUUUAAAGAUUAUGUGAUAAUGAACUCGAAUCCGAGAAUUUUAGCGUCAUCCAGUAACUAUUUUAUUUUUAAACCGACACAUAUUAAUUUUUCAAUUAUACUGUGUUUCAUAUAUAUAAUUAAUAAUUAUAAUGUGUUUCAUAUAUAUUGUGUGAGGUAACGUGAUAAUCCCUAUGAAAUAUUUUAUAAAAGUAUACAAUAUUUUGUAACAUUAAAAAUGAUACUAUUUUUUUAUAAAAAUAAAUGAUAUUUUGUAAAAAAAAAUAAUGAUACAAUACAAAUGAUCAUUCUUAUGCAUGCAAAUAACAAUUUUAAUAACAAUAAAAAUAUGUCCCUCCAAUCAGUAAGUAGGUCGGGAGUUUGAGUUAUCUAAAAGUACGAAGUUCACACUUAGGCCUCGUUUGACUAGCUGCUAAGGCUCACGCAAGUUAGUGGAAACGAAGAAAAGGUGGCUUGGGUGGUCUAGAUAUGUUCUAUUGGCCACGCAUUUGGUAGCGCUCGCUUGAAAGCGUGAAACACUUCCUUCUUUUUCGAUAAACAUAAUUGGAAUCGUGAUUAUAAACUGAAAUAUCCAAAAUAACCUCCAUAAUUUCUGCCUGCGGUUCACACACACAGCAUAACCAACGCAGCAUAAACUUACAUUGCUCAUCACACAUUUCAGCUAAUCUAACACACACAACCUCUACUCAAAGCACAAACAUAACAACGCAAGAAGAAUGUUGUGUGGUGAGCCACAAGAUCAAGAUGACUCAUAGUUUCUCCAUUUAACUGAAUAUCGAAAUCUGCAGGAGAUCUAAUAAUACCACAAAACAACUGAUAAUAUGCCAACAGUCUUCAUGCUUCAACAUGGCCCUCGGCAAGUUUUAGCCUUUUCCUUAAAUCCACAGCUUCAACAUCUGGUAUAUUUAAGAAAAACUCAGCUAAGUUUAAAACUACUAACUCAUACAUGAAACUUAAUCGUAAGAUUAAGGAUUAUAUGUGUUUCAUUAUUGUAUCUGAAACAAACUAAGCAUGUAAUUUCAAACAUAAUUUGAUGCCACUCCUAUUUUCCGCAUCCCUUUCUUGGUGCAAUCAAAUGAAGAAUUAAGAUAAUGAAUGGAGAUCACAUGAAAGAGAUAUAUAAUCACAUGACAAAGACUUCUCAUACAAUCUGCUGUUUAGUUUCUACAAGAAAAGGGAAACUAACAUUUUUCAUUGAUAAUUUGCAAAAUAGAAGCAGUUCAAAAAAUAUUAUGACUCUACUACAUUGUGAGCAGUCCUUCAUAUAAAGCACAUUUCUCUAGCAAACAGAAUCUCAAAUUAAGAAACAGCAAGUAUACACACUAUAUUCUUAUUAAAAGAAAAUCCAAAGAUGAGCAGUGGCACAUGAAACUAACCCUGUCAGUAAAAAGGCUGUCCAUUUGGUUGGUCUUAAAAAGAGCAAGCUGGAACUCCUCCUGCAAGUAAACACAUGUUGAUGCAAAAAUACCAAAGCUGAGAACCAGGAUGUGAACCAAAUAACAGGAUUGUAACAAGGCCAAGGGAUUCCUAAUACAACUAGAAACAAAAAACAAGAUGCAUUAAGUAGGAUCUAGUAAUCAAUUAGAAUUACUAGAAACCAAGAAGCAACAAUCUCACCUCACAUCAUCUAUAAAUAUAACGCACAUCAAACAAUAAUAUCCUAAACAAAACUCACAAGUACAAGAAAUGCCAAGCUUUACAACAUCACAUGUAUGAUCAUUAGUUUCUUCUCCUCUUCUUUCGCCUCUUAUCCCUGUCGCUUUCACUCUCACUUGACUCCGAACUUGAUGAUCCCGAUCCAGACCCAGAUCCAUCAGAAUCAGAACCAGAACUAUCAGAUUCAGAAUCGGACUCGGGUACAGCCUUUUGUUGUUGCAUGAUGAGCCGAGGCAUGUUCUUGAGAUACUCCCGCAGGUUUUCUGUGAUCCCUCCAAGCCCAAUGGAAGUGAAGAAGUUGAUAGCAAACCUAGUGUUUUUCGGGUUGUCCUUGGGAAAAAUAGACUCGAACGAGUCUUGCAUGCCAGGGUCGCUUAGACGUUCAUUAAGCAAGCGAAUUCCUAGGU
rnacentral:lncRNA from 1 species